UACGUGGGUGGCAAGCGUUGUCCGGAUUUAUUGGGCGUAAAGAGCUCGUAGGCGGUUCGGUAAGUCAGGUGUGAAAACUCCAGGCUCAACUUGGAGACGCCACCUGAUACUGUCGUGACUAGAGUCCGGUAGGGGAGCAUGGAAUUCCUGGUGUAGCGGUGAAAUGCGCAGAUAUCAGGAGGAACACCAGCGGCGAAGGCGGUGCUCUGGGCCGGAACUGACGCUGAGGAGCGAAAGCGUGGGGAGCGAACAGG
rnacentral:rRNA from 1 species